AGUGCUGGGGGACCCGGCGCACCCUCCGCAGCUGCUAGCCCGGGUGCUAAACCCCUCACUGCCCGGGCCGGCGCUGCCGGCCGGCGUUGGGCCGGCUGCUCUGAGUGCGGGCCGCGGAGCCUGCGCCCACCCGGAACUGGCCGCAGCCCCGGUUCCCGCCCCCGCCUCUCCCUCCACACCUCCCCACAAGCAGAGGGAGCUGGCUUCAGCCUCAGCCAGCCCAGAGAGGGGUCCCCACAGCGCAGUGGCGGGCUGAAGGGCUCCUUGAGCAUGGCCAGAGUGGACGCCAAGGCUGAGGAGGCGCUGAGAGCCAGUGAGGGCUGCUAGCACGUUGUCACCUCAAUACAUAAAACUACUGAAGGGUGGUUCCAAGAUGGCCAAAUAGGAACAGCUCCAGUCUACAGCUCCCAGCAUGAGCGACGCAGAAGAUGAAUGAUUUCUGCAUUUCCAACUGAGUAGAGAGCUGACUUUAGAGGGAUCAGGAAUAGUUUGCUGGAUGGAAGGAGAUUGGGGCCUGUCAUCAUCUUAAAGGCUCUGUGGCAGCUUGGACCUGAAGUAGGGUGCAC
rnacentral:lncRNA from 1 species